rnacentral:rRNA from 1 species
CCUACGGGGGGCAGCAGUGAGGAAUAUUGGUCAAUGGACGAGAGUCUGAACCAGCCAAGUAGCGUGAAGGAUGACUGCCCUAUGGGUUGUAAACUUCUUUUAUAUGGGAAUAAAACGUUCCACGUGUGGGAUUUUGUAUGUACCAUAUGAAUAAGGAUCGGCUAACUCCGUGCCCGCAGCCGCGGUAAUACGGAGGAUCCUAGCGUUAUCCGGAUUUAUUGGGUUUAAAGGGAGCGUAGGUGGAUUGUUAAGUCAGUUGGUAAAAUUUGCGGCUCAACCGUAAAAUUGCAGUUGAAACUGGCAGUCGUGAGUAGAGGAGAGGUGGGCGGAAUGCGUGGUGUAGCGGUGAAAUGCUUAGAUAUCACGAAGAACUCCGAUUGCGAAGGCAGUUCACUGGACUGCAACUGACACUGAGGCUCGAAAGUGUGGGUAUCAAACAGGAUUAGAUACCCGAGUAGUC